rnacentral:lncRNA from 1 species
CCAACAUCAACUGAAUCUCGUGAAAUCACUAAAGGGUAAAAUGGGUCGAAAAAGUCGAAAAAUACAAUGCGUGUUUGAUAGGAUUUGGCUUUAUUUCCAUGUUUCGGCCUUUAAGAAUGCUUACCCCAUGAAUUAUUUGCCCUCCCGCUAAAGUACUAUCAAAAAGUUGUUUGUUAGAUCAGGGUGUUUAAUACCUAGCCACACAGAACUGCCGAGAUAAUGGGUCGAAAAGUUGGUGUCCUCAAUGUGUAUUUUUUCGAAAUCUGCUUUAUUUCCAUGUUUAGGACGAAAGUUUCGGCCUUUAAGAAUACAUAGGCCAGAAAUUCUUAACCCUCCCGCUG